rnacentral:lncRNA from 1 species
AAACUGUUCGAUCUUUUGGUUGUAUUCGUCAAGAUGAGGCUUUGAAGCUUAUGUCAUCGAUCAAAACUCUGGCUGGUGCCGGAAAAAUUGUUAAUCUAAAGGAGAAACUGGCCUCAUACACGAGCUCCAUGGUUUGCAGAGCAGCAUUUGGGAAAGUCAGCAAGGACGACCACAAAGCGUUCUUACAGUUAGUUAUGGAGGCACUGCCCCUUUCAAGUGCUUUUGAAAUAUCUGAUUUGUUUCCUUCCCUCAAGAUUCUUCAUCCCUUGUUUUCAGCCAAAACAAAGUUGAUGAAGGUCCACCAUAAGAUGGAUGUCAUUUUGGACAAAAUUAUUGAUCAACAUAUUGACAACCUAGCAAGAACAAGGAUGGCGAUGGGCGAAUCCGGCCACGAAGAUCUAACUGAUGUUCUACUAAGAGUUAAAGAAAGUGGCGACCUUCAAUUUCCAAUUACCAAAAACAAUGUCAAAGCAGUCCUAUUUGUAAGCAAUAGUUUAGCAAAUUUUUGGCUUUGUGAUCUAAAGUUUAAUUAAUAUGUUUGCUUUCUGACAAAGAGGAUUCAACACUUGAUGCAGGACAUGUUUUUAGGGGGGACCGAAACUUCAUCCACUACAUUGGAGUGGGCGAUGUCCGAGCUGAUUAAAAAUCCAAAUGUGAUGACCAAGGUUCAGAAUGAAGUAAGGAAAGCUUUUACGGGAAAGAAGACCAUUGAAGAAAAUGAGAUACAGCAGUUGCAAUACUUAAAGCUAGUGAUCAAAGAAACUUUGAGGUUACAUCCUCCUGCCCCUUUAUCAGUUCCCAAACAAUGCAGGGAGCAAUGUGAAAUAGAUGGAUAUAGCAUCCCCGUGAAAACAAGGCUGUUUGUUAAUACUUGGGCAAUCGCAAGAGAUCCUGAAUAUUGGGAUGAUCCAGAGAGUUUCAAGCCAGAGAGAUUCGAAAACAGUUCAAUUGAUUUCACAGGAAAUCACUUUGAACUUUUACCAUUUGGUUCAGGAAGAAGGAUUUGCCCAGGAAUAUCAUUUGGUAUAGCCAAUGUUGAGCUUCCUUUAACUCUUUUGCUCUAUCAUUUUGACUGGAGGCUCCCAAAUGGCCUGAGCCCUGACGACUUAGACAUGAUAGAGAGCGUUGGAAUUGCUACAACUAGGAAAAAUGACCUUUGCUUGCUGGCCACUCUAUAUGAUCCUUAACUUGAUAGGGCACUGUAACCUCCAAAGACGGACAUAUUGGCAUAUCUUUUGAUGGUCAAUAGCAUUUUUAGUCAUCUUACCAGAUUUCCAUUUUCACAUUUUGAGUCAUUCAGAAUAAAUUUUGGUUUAAUUAGUUCAAGUUUUGAAUUUGUAAGUUUGUAGUUUGGCUGAUGUUGGUGGUAAUGCCUUAUAGCUCU